UGGGUUUGGGGUUCUAGUAUAGAUUGGUAUUCUAUUAACCCUUGUUCAGUUUUAGAUUGAACUUGAUUUUAGGAUAAACAAGGAUUAUAAGGUCAGGUUCAACAUAAUUGUUUUGGACAUUAUGUUGGGUGUCAGAGGGUUUGGUUUCAAGAAGAAGAGUUUCAAGGGGAACAAUUUGAAAAGGAAUGGCUUUAAUAGCACUAAAGUCAGGUUCAUCAUAAUCAGAACUUGAGCUUGAGCUUGUAAACUUGGAGCUGGAAACCUCAAUGGGGGGUUCAAACAUGAUGCUUAAGGGUUAGGAUUGGUUAGAAUCAGAGAGAGAUACUAGCUGGUUUUAUUCAGAAGGUAACUCACCAUCUAGAUGACUUGUUAGUUUCUCUAGGACAGAUGUUGUAGGGAUAGUUUCUUGUUGAGAAAGUCCUUAAGCAUAUGACCAAUGUCAUGAGAAUCUAAUUCAUAGGUUGGUUUAGGAUAUAGUAUGACAUGACCCAUAUAUAGGUUAUGGUCAGGUUUUGGUGAGAGUGUUUAGAUGAUGGUGUAGGAGAUUGAGGUGGUGUUGGAGUAGGUGAUUUAGUCAUAAGUGGUCAAUUGUAAGAAUUUAUGACAUUAUCAAAGGCAUAAUUUAUAGAAUUACUUGCGUGGACAGUCUUUGCAGCAUCUGAAGCAGCUUUCUCUUCUUCCACAAUAGUUUCAAGAGCAUGGGUAGUAGUUGUUUCUGGCUCAUUAGAAGCUUCAACUUCAAAAGUACUCCCAGCCUUAUUCAACACAACUUUUACUCCAACUUCAAAUUCCACUUGCUUCAGUAGAACUUUAGCAAUAGAAGGCUAUUCCAUAGCUUGAUUGAUAAAUGCAUAUGCUAUCAAUCUAUAUCUUUCUUGAAUAGAUUUUUUAGAGAGGUUCUGAGAUACCUUUUCAAAACUUUGGCCCUCUUGACCAGAAGUUGUUCAUCAUCAUCUUCUUCUUCUUACAACAUCAUCUUAUUCUUCUUCUUACAACAUCAUCUUCUUUCGCUUCUUCUUUUUCACAGACGUGGACAAAUCAUAAGUUAUCUUUUGAGGAGUUUUUCUAGUGGCUCCACUUCUUAUCUUGGUAUGAAUCAAGAUUGUUGUGGAGGUCACUUUUUGUACCUCAUUCAGAAAUUCCUUGUGGUGUACAACCUUCUUCUUAGGUGGCUUCUGAAC
rnacentral:lncRNA from 1 species